AACGAACGCUGGCGGCAGGCCCAAUACAUGCAAGUCGAACGCACCGCAAGGUGAGUGGCAGACGGGUGAGUAACGCGUGGGAAUCUUCCUUGCAGUACGGAAUAACUCCGGGAAACCGGUGCUAAUACCGUAUACGUCCUUCGGGAGAAAGAUUUAUCGCUGCAAGAUGAGCCCGCGUCGGAUUAGCUAGUUGGUGGGGUAAAGGCCUACCAAGGCUACGAUCCGUAGCUGGUCUGAGAGGAUGAUCAGCCACACUGGGACUGAGACACGGCCCAGACUCCUACGGGAGGCAGCAGUAGGGAAUAUUGGACAAUGGGCGCAAGCCUGAUCCAGCCAUGCCGCGUGAGUGAAGAAGGCCUUAGGGUUGUAAAGCUCUUUUGGCGGGGAAGAUAAUGACGGUACCCGCAGAAUAAGCUCCGGCUAACUUCGUGCCAGCAGCCGCCGUAA
rnacentral:rRNA from 1 species